rnacentral:rRNA from 1 species
GAUGAACGCUGGCGGCGUGCCCAAUACAUGCAAGUCGAGCGAACAGACGAGGAGCUUGCUCCUCUGACGUUAGCGGCGGACGGGUGAGUAACACGUGGAUAGCCUACCUAUAAGACUGGGAUAACUUCGGGAAACCGGAGCUAAUACCGGAUAAUAUAUUGAACCGCAUGGUUCAAUAGUGAAAGACGGUUUUGCUGUCACUUAUAGAUGGAUCCGCGCCGCAUUAGCUAGUUGGUAAGGUAACGGCUUACCAAGGCAACGAUGCGUAGCCGACCUGAGAGGGUGAUCGGCCACACUGGAACUGAGACACGGUCCAGACUCCUACGGGAGGCAGCAGUAGGGAAUCUUCCGCAAUGGGCGAAAGCCUGACGGAGCAACGCCGCGUGAGUGAUGAAGGUCUUCGGAUCGUAAAACUCUGUUAUUAGGGAAGAACAAAUGUGUAAGUAACUAUGCACGUCUUGACGGUACCUAAUCAGAAAGCCACGGCUAACUACGUG